rfam:Streptomyces sp. MnatMP-M17 genome assembly, contig: Ga0115259_10187
GUCGGUAGAGCGUCUCCAUGGUAAGGAGAAGGUCUACGGUUCGAUUCCGUAUUGGGGCU